rnacentral:rRNA from 1 species
AUUGAACGCUGGCGGCAUGCUUUACACAUGCAAGUCGAACGGUAACAGGCCGCAAGGUGCUGACGAGUGGCGAACGGGUGCGUAAUGCAUCGGAACGUGCCCAGUCGUGGGGGAUAACUACUCGAAAGAGUAGCUAAUACCGCAUACGAUCUACGGAUGAAAGCGGGGGACCGUAAGGCCUCGCGCGAUUGGAGCGGCCGAUGUCAGAUUAGGUAGUUGGUGGGGUAAAGGCUCACCAAGCCAACGAUCUGUAGCUGGUCUGAGAGGACGACCAGCCACACUGGGACUGAGACACGGCCCAGACUCCUACGGGAGGCAGCAGUGGGGAAUUUUGGACAAUGGGCGCAAGCCUGAUCCAGCAAUGCCGCGUGCAGGAAGAAGGCCUUCGGGUUGUAAACUGCUUUUGUACGGAACGAAACGGCUCUGGUUAAUACCCGGGGCUAAUGACGGUACCGUAAGAAUAAGCACCGGCUAACUACGUG